rfam:Salmo salar isolate Sally breed double haploid chromosome ssa07, whole genome shotgun sequence.
UGCAUUCACUACUGUAAGUUGCUCUGGAUAAGAGUGUCUGCUAAAUUACUAAAA